AUUGAACGCUGGCGGCAGGCCUAACACAUGCCAGUCGAGCGGAGCGGCGGACGGGUGAGUAAUGCCUAGGAAUCUGCCUGGUAGUGGGGGAUAACGUCCGGAAACGGGCGCUAAUACCGCAUCCUAUCAGAUGAGCCUAGGACGGAUUAGCUAGUUGGUGGGGUAAAGGCCUACCAGGGCGACGAUCCGUAACUGGUCUGAUAGGAGGAUCAGUCCCACUGGACCUGAGACACGGUCCAGACUCCUACGGGGGGCAGCAGUGGGGAAUAUUGGACAAUGGGCGAAAGCCUGAUGCAGCCAUGCCGCGUGUGUGAAGAAGGUCUUCGGGUUGUAAAGCACUUUAAGUUGGGAGGCGUUACCAACAGAAUAAGCACCGGCUAACUUCGUGACAGCAGCCGCGGUAAUUC
rnacentral:rRNA from 1 species